rnacentral:rRNA from 1 species
CAUGGCUCAGGAUGAACGCUAGCGGCAGGCCUAACACAUGCAAGUCGAGGGAGGAGCUUUCGGGCUUCGACCGGCGUACGGGUGCGUAACGCGUAUACAAUCUGCCUUUCACAUAGGGAUAGCCCGAAGAAAUUUGGAUUAAUACCUAAUGGUAUAUAGGAGUGGCAUCACAUUUAUAUUAAAGCUGAGGCGGUGAAAGAUGAGUAUGCGUUCUAUUAGCUAGUUGGAGAGGUAACGGCUCCCCAAGGCGACGAUAGAUAGGGGUUCUGAGAGGGAUAUCCCCCACACUGGUACUGAGAUACGGACCAGACUCCUACGG